rnacentral:rRNA from 1 species
UAGCUAGUUGGUGGGGUAAGGGCCUACCAAGGCGACGAUCGGUAGNNGGUCUGAGAGGAUGACCAGCCACACUGGAACUGAGACACGGUCCAGACUCCUACGGGAGGCAGCAGUGGGGAAUAUUGGACAAUGGGGGCAACCCUGAUCCAGCAAUGCCGCGUGUGUGAAGAAGGCCUGAGGGUUGUAAAGCACUUUCAGUGGGGAGGAGGGUUGAUAGGUUAAGAGCUAAUUAACUGGACGUUACCCACAGAAGAAGCACCGGCUAACUCCGUGCCAGCAGCCGCGGUAAUACGGAGGGUGCGAGCGUUAAUCGGAAUUACUGGGCGUAAAGGGUGCGUAGGUGGUUGAUUAAGUUAUCUGUGAAAUUCCUGGGCUUAACCUGGGACGGUCAGAUAAUACUGGUUGACUCGAGUAUGGGAGAGGGUAGUGGAAUUUCCGGUGUAGCGGUGAAAUGCGUAGAGAUCGGAAGGAACACCAGUGGCGAAGGCGGCUACCUGGCCUAAUACUGACACUGAGGCACGAAAGCGUGGGGAGCAAACAGGAUUAGAUACCCUGGUAGUCCACGCUGUAAACGAUGUCAACUAGCUGUUGGUUAUAUGAAAAUAAUUAGUGGCGC